CUCCGUACUAUACCUGACCGAAGAACAAAAAGUCCCUAUUGCAGCCUUUAUGUUAAACGAUGAAGCUAAACACUAGUGGCGACUUAAGAAAGAAAUCAAGCCUACCCCUACGACCUGGAAAGUUUUUAUGGAUGCUUUCUUUGAUAACUUUUUCUCUGCUUAUGUUCGAGAAAAGAAAUAGGAGGAAUUCCAGGACCUCCACCAAGGAAGCUUGUCUGUAGCCCAAUAUACAGCAUGAUUUGUUCAACCGUCUAGGUUUACCUCUUUAAUGAUCACCCCCGAAAACCAAAAAGCCAGGAAGUUUCUCAAGGGCCUUCGGCUGACAUUUAUGACUGAGUCACGAUGCUGAGACCCAACUCAUAUGCAGAUGUGCUUGAACAUGCCUAGUUAGCCGAAAUCUUAUCUCGGCUAAGCACCAACGCUUUGCUCGGGUUUGAGCCCAACAAUGGCUCCAAUAGCUUAUAAAGAGAUUGUCUAACCUAGUAAGUAACCCCCUAGACAAACGAACAAG
rnacentral:lncRNA from 1 species